rnacentral:misc_RNA from 1 species
GAAGCCUGUGAAUUGAAGAAGUCAGUUGCUCCAUGCUUUCAAUACUUUCUCUAAGAGUUGCAUUUUCAAUUUUCAUUCUGGCAAAAUCCACAGCAGACUUCCGAGAAGAGUAUUUUUCUUCAUUAUCCACAUGAGCUGCAGCUCCACUUCCACUGAUUUCUGGUGUACCUACCCAACGUCUCAGAUACGUACCCUUCAGCAA